UACUCACUGCAGAGCGAAAUGGGUGGAGCUGGACGUAGAGCUCCGUGUCUACGGCAAGUCUAGUGCUGUGCCUGACAUGGCUCACUCGUUCUCUAUUCCCUAUAUAGCGAAUGAAGGUUGAGUCUACUAUAUGGGGAAGAAGUGAAAAUGAGUGAGCGAAUUCGGACGCUGAGUGUGUGUCGGAGAGCACGCUGUCGCGGACAUUGUGGUUUGUAUCGUAAAACAGUAAAGGUCAUUUCUCACAACCUGCGUUUCCAUUAACCCGAAUGGAAUUUCGAAAUAAACUCUCAAAUAUCGCAAAAAGUUUAUACGCUCGCAUUAGGUGCUUUUUCAGACAACUCGACAAAGCAAUAUUUCGAAAAAAUGAAAUAGAGAAACAUUUCUCGCAUUUAGGUCACAUGACAUGACGGUAGUUUUGCUCACAACGAGAGAGAGCGAGAAAGAGAGAGAGAUUGAUUGAUUUGCGUUAACUCCUUUCACUCCAAUGGACCAGUAUCUCAAUAGUUCCCGGAAGUUAGCGCAGAACAGACCUUUUUGAUGCACUUUUAAAAGAUUUCCCACCACAUAGAAAAUUGGGGUUGUCAGCAGGAUUGGAAAGGAGCCAAGAAGAGUGGGAGGACAUAUUGGCCUGACCAGAGGUGGACCACAGAAACAGGCUGGAUAAUGAAGUGAGAAAACGGACCGGUUUUAUCGAGACAUUGCUGAAUGCUGACUGCUGCCAUCCACUGCUGAUGUUAUGUGUACAUUCAGGGUCCAGGAGGCCCCAUUGGAGGAGAACCAGCUGAGGUGGGAGAAAGAAAGGAGAGUAUCCCUGAUCAAAGCCGCUCGGGAAUGGCUCGACAUGAUGUACUCAAGAAGGAGCCUUCCAACCAGGCUGACACCAUCUCCCACCCUCCUUGCCCCUCCAUGGUCGCUCUACCUUCUUGUCCCACUAAGGACGUUGAUCUGCCUCCCUCCCCUACUGUGAAUUUCUCUCGGCGUGCCUGUUUGACGGACAAUACCGCUCAGCCUUCCUGCUUGACAUCGCUCAACUUUACCUCCCUACUCUGCCUCAGAUGUCACUAUGCCAGGUUUGUCUUCAGACAUCACUCCGCCUUCCUGCUCUGUUGAGGAGCUCACGCUACCAUCCUUCUUGGCUGAGGACAUUGCACUGCCAUCCUGCUCCGCUGAGAACAUCGCUCUUCCAUCCUGCUCCACUGAGGACAUCUCUCUGUCAUCCUGCUCCACUGAGGACAUCGUUCUCCCUCCACGCACCUUUUUUCUGCUUCGCGCCGUAUAUUGCUCCCCCUCCUUGCUCCACGGAGGACAUUGCUUCCCCUUCUGGCCUCACUACAGACUAUGAUUCCCAUCAGCUACUGCACCUAGUCUCAUGUCUUGUUUCAACAUGGAGUCACGUUCUGCACUGCACUGGUUGUCUUGUUUGGUCUGUUUAUCUGUAUCACAUUAUGCUCACCCAUGUUUCAUGUUUCUUUGUAUUUGUACCUUGUCACGUUUUCUAGAAAUCUUGUUUUGUACUUUAUUACACAUUCCAAUUCAGUUCUGCAGUUGCAUCCAUCUCUACCUACAAACCUGACACUAUUAAUAAAGUUGAUAUACUUGAACAAAACCAUAAGGAAACAUAGCU